UGGGAACUGUAGUCUGAAAGCGACUCCGUACCGCGACAGAGUAGAGACUUCUGGGUAGUGUAGUUGUACGUGGGGACGUGCGGCAACCAGGAAGUUGGCUUGCCGGGAAGAAUAGCAGCGAUGUUAAGUGGACCGACCCAGUGAGAAAAGCGCUGCCUGGGAAGCAAACUACAAGUUCCAGAGUGCCUCGCGCUGGAGGCCGUCCCAGGACAGCUCCAGGCAUCCUAAGGUGCAUUCUAGCGUGAGUCUCUGCUCCGCCUCCGUCCGAGCAGUGAGCGGUUUCUUCAAUUGAGCUAUGUCUCCGCGUGGUGUCCGAGCUAGCAGGCUUAACAGGCUCUCCUGUGUUCAAGAGUGGCGAGCCUGCGGUCAUCAACUGCCUCCUCGCGCUGCAGACCAGAGAGAGACUGGCCUGAUGGAGAUCGAGUAGGAAAGGCUGGCGCGAACCUCGGGUUCCCCACAGCCAUUUGCGUCUUGGGACCUGUUAUAUGCCUCCCAUGAACGCAUCCAGUAUAUGAAGACAUAAACUGGGACAAAAGCUGCACGGGCUUAUACUCCACAUUUGCCACACAAGAUGCACUUUUUUUUUUAAAGGGUCCUUCUAAGGAUUUUCCAUUGUAACAGGCAAAUUCUCACUACCUGUUUAUAUUAUGAACAACCUCUUCUCCACAACACUAUGUGAGUAUCGGAAUCUGGGAAGCAGACAGCAACUUUUACCCAGUGUGUCAACUUCUUCCUUUCUAUACCACUCAAACAGCAACCACAGUGGCUUCUUGUCGUUCUCAAAUUUUAAAAUGCACUGGUUUGAUGAUGGAGCACUUCUGCUUCCAGGGAUUAGUAGAUCUACUUGCACAUUCUUGCAAAAUGACAUAUGCAUAAAAAUAUACAUUGCAGCAUUGUUUGUAAGAGAUGAACUAUUUAAAUGUCUGUUAGUAGGGAGCCACUUAAAUCAACACAGAGGACUAUAUGGCCUCUUAAAAGAAUAAAUAAUAUCUGUAUGGACUGACAGGGAAAAUCUACAGAAAUAUUUUUAAGUAAAAAGAGUGAGAUGGAUACCAGAGCACACAAUGUGCUACAUUGAAAGGGAAGAAUGGGCAUACAGGCAAAUAUUGUAAAUGAAUAGAAGACCCUGGAGGACAUCCAGUACCCUGUGGACAAUGGUUGCCCAAGGAGCAAGGACUGGGAAGCUGCUGAAUGUCAGAAGGGAAGUAUAUUUUUCACUGAGUACCUGGUAUUGGUUGAAUUGUGUCACUCGAACUCAAAUGAAGUCCUAACCCACACUACUUCAAAAUGGGACCUUAUUUGGCAGUUAUAAUUAGCUAAAUGCUGACAAACUACAAUGAGUCCCUUAAAAAAGAGAAUAUGUUUGUGUGCAUGUGUGUACAUUAUACACGCAUAGCAUAAGGACUGGCUGUAACUGACAUCUGUUUGUUCCAGCCAGCAGAUAGUUUGCCCUUGAAGCUAGCAGUGGGUAUUCUACCUGAACAUCAUCAUUCCUAGGCUCUUCCCAUACCUCACAAGAAGAAUGGUGGAUGGGUGGGAAGAAGGAUAGGGCCUAAGUGAGUACAGGUACAGGAAAAGGCUUCCAGGCAGGCCGCCUCCUUGGUCCUGGAAGUUUUGAAGAAAGUGGGAGAACUAUGGUAGUGGGUUUCUAGGGAAUUGGGCCAAACAGGGCCUGCUCCUUCAGGGACAGUGAAAACCAAGCAGGGUCUUAUCGCUCUCAUUUGAAUAAAGCUCCAAGAGCUGAAAUGGAAGGCUGGAAACACAAACAAAUGACCUUGCUAAGAUUCCAUCUGAUCCAGAAAGAAUGGCUGUCAUCAAGAAACCAACCAAUAACAAAUGCUGGUGAGGUUGUGGGGAAAAUGAAACCUUCUCCACCGUUGUGGGGGAGUAUAGACUGGUGCAACCCACUGUGGAAAUUCCUCAAAAAACUAGAAUUAGAGGUCCCAUUUGACCCAGCUAUUCCUCCCCACUUGGUAUUUUCCCUAAAAUAUCAUAAACAUCGUACCACAAUGAUGUACAUGCAUCCCAUUUAUAGUGACAUAGUUUAUAAAAGCUAAAUCUGAGAAACAGCCCAAAUGUCCAUCAGCCAAUGAAUAGGUAAAGAUGUGACUUUUUUUUUACAUACAGUGAAGUACUAUUUGCCCAUAAAGGAUACCGUGGAGCCAUUUCUAGCUAAAUUAAUGCACCUUGAGAACAUACUCUUAAGUGAAAUGAAUCAGACAAACAUGUUUAAAUUCUAUAUUGUUUCUCUGUGAUAACAAAGCUAAAGUAUAAAUAAGAACCAAAAUGUAUAACUAGAUAUUGGGAAAGGGGAACAAAAUGUUCAAAUGAAAAGGUAAACAAGCGAAGGGCAGAAAGGGAAAAGAAAAAAAGGGAAUAGGAAGAAAAAAUGGAAAGGAAGCUUUUGUAAGCAAGAAGGAGAAAAGGAAUUGAAGGGAGGGCAGAGGAAUGGGGGAAAAAAAAGCAAGAUAUCAUAUACAGGUACAAUUCCCUAUGGUGGGUGUUAUCAUUAUGUAUAUUUAAAAUGGACCAAUACGUUUUUUAAAGAGAGGGAAAUCUGAACAUUGACAAGCACACAAUGAGAACGCCACAUGAAGAGAUGAAGGAACAAUUGGACGGAAGCCCAGCAAAUUACCAAAAACUAAAGAGAAAGGACAGAACAGAUUUUUCCUCUUAGUCUUUGGGCAAGAUGUUGGUCCUUGGUCCUUGGUAUUUGCUGUGGGUCUGGUCAGGUAUGAAUUUAUCCUCCAGAACUGUAGACAAUAUAUUUCUAUUAUUUUAAACCACUCCAUUUGUGGUAAUUUGUAACAUAGUCCUAGCACUCUUUGGUAACUAAUACAGCACCCUUUGGUAGCUUUUGAGUUCUGGAGCAUUUACCUAUGUGUAUUACAGAUUUUAAAAUAUUUUCAAUACCAAUGACCCCUCUUUCAGGAGGCUUUCCCAGACUCACCAGAUGGUUCUAUUCUUUGUGCUCCCAGAGUACUUUAGCUAUCUCUGCAACAUGAUGGAUCCAGAUAUAACUGGUACUUAACCACUCACAGGGUGUCUUAGUUACUUUUCUCUUGCUGCUGGGACAAAAUACCCAACACUCAAAAUUAAGGAACGAAAGAUUUAUUUAGCUCAUAAUUUGUGGAGGUUUCAGUCCAUAAUCAACUUGCUCCAAGCAUGGCACAGGGGCAAAAAUUCAAGGUGGCAGAAGACAGUAAAAGCAGCAAGAACAAAAGGGAAAGAGCAAACCUCUUUUCCUCCCUUAUAUUGUAAGCAGUCCCCCCACCCCAAUCCCGUCCAGCUGGGUACAGCACUCAAACCCUCUCCCAUUUCCACCUCUUGCUCAGGAUGAGAAUGUUUACAAAGUAAGGACCCUGGCCCUCUGCUGAGUGCUUAGUUGAACUUCUACACUCAGACUGACACAGGAGUGUCCUCUCCACAAAAUCCCUAACUCUUACAGAUCAAGGGCUGAGCUGACAUUAUCAUUAUAGUCCCAGAGCCAAGUGUUCAAGGUUUGCUGGAGUGAAACCAGAUAGUUUCCACUUCCUUCCUGACACAACCUGCUAUUUAUUGGUUUGGGCUUGAUAAACUAUUACUUCAUUUAUGUUUAGUCGGAGUGACAACUAAGACCUGACCUUGACUUGUGGAGGGUCUUGAUAGAUAGGAGGAAAGAAAUCACUUAUAAUAAAAGAAUAGCAUUCUAAAUGAGCUAAGAGUUUAGCACAAGUCAGGGAUAUAUUCUUUAAACAACAAGUGAGUUAAUUCUUGCCUGAGAGAGAUGAAGAAUCAAGAAAACCUUUCUUGCUGGAUGAAGGAUAACUAAGACAAUGCGUGAGUUAUUGUUUCAAGACUUCGACUGCAGAAGUGACAUGCCCUUGAUCUUCCUUGGCUUUUCAAUCAUCAUGACCUUCUGUAUCAUCAUGUCUAUGUGUCGGCAUUUCCCUCUUCUCUAAAGAAUAUCAGGCAUUGGACUAAGUCCUACUCUUAGGACUAGCAUAACCUCUUGUUUUGUUUUGUUUUUUAAAGUUGCUCAGGCUGGGCUUGAACUUGCAACUUCUUGCCUUGGGCUCCCAGGGUGCUGGAACGAUAAUCAUGUGCUAGCAUACCAACUUAGUAAAACUUCAACUUGAAAAUAAGGUGUCAUUCUGAGAUUCCAGGUGGCCAUGAAUUUGGGGUUACGCUACGUAACUCAGUGCAGCUGCUCAGCUGGGACUCACAUAGGAGAGAGAAAAUCCAGGUCUUGGAGUCAGAUGCACUUGCUUUCAGACCCUGGGUCUACCUGAAGGUCAGCUAGGUGAUCUUGGUCAAGUUACUCAGCAUCUGUAAAUCUGAUUCUCAUCUGUACUUAAUAAUGGCCAUGUCUCCUAGGGCUGCCAGGCAGAUAAAUGAGAUUAGUCCUGACAGUCAGCAUGGUACCUGAUAAUUUUUUCUUUUUUAGGUUGGACUAUGACAGUGAGGGGAACAGACUGAUGUGCCUGGGGUUGGGAGAGGCAGUUACUCUCCCAUGUUGUGUCUCUAAAAUCCCAGCUGGGCUGUUCUCCCUGUGCCCUGUGCUUUUGCCUAAAGGUCGUGAGAGUGUCUGGGCUGGGGGAGGGGGACAAGAACAGUGUUUCCACAUCAAGGACUGUGGACCACACCUGGGCAGCCCUGUACCCCACCCCCAGCAGGGGAAUCACAGCCCAUGCACUCUACUCAUUAUGCCCUGAAGAUCAGCGCCAGCCAGGUGCAACUCCUACCCAUUUAGCCCUGGCCUGCUCCUGCUUGCUCAGCUCUCUCCUGGAUGGCACAUCAUUCCCAUUACUCUUCACUUUCUCCUUUCCUGUCUCGACAACAACAACAAAAAAUUAGUGACGAGUUCUUCCCUCGUGCGCGGUUCCAAGUCAAUAUGGCACUGGACAGAGCCUACCUUCAACACCGACUUCUGCCUUAUUCUUGCAAAUCUGAAAAAUCGGACUUUUACUUUUUGCACGGUAACACUCCCCCAAUCAGCUGUCAGUAUGUCUGUUCUGCCCGCCCUUUUGAUAUCAUCCCUGUCAAGACCAAAUAAGAGCCCGAGGUUUUGUUUGUCUCCCUCAGAGGAUGUUUGUAUCUCUUCGGCAGCCUCCCAGUGCCUUCAAUAAAGGCCUCUUUUUUUUUUUCUUU